GGGACACGUGGUAUCCUGUCUGAAUAUGGGGGGACCAUCCUCCAAGGCUAAAUACUCCUGACUGACCGAUAGUGAACCAGUACCGUGAGGGAAAGGCGAAAAGAACCCCGGCGAGGGGAGUGAAAAAGAACCUGAAACCGUGUACGUACAAGCAGUGGGAGCACGCUUCGGCGUGUGACUGCGUACCUUUUGUAUAAUGGGUCAGCGACUUAUAUUCUGUAGCAAGGUUAACCGAAUAGGGGAGCCGAAGGGAAACCGAGUCUUAACUGGGCGUUAAGUUGCAGGGUAUAGACCCGAAACCCGGUGAUCUAGCCAUGGGCAGGUUGAAGGUUGGGUAACACUAACUGGAGGACCGAACCGACUAAUGUUGAAAAAUUAGCGGAUGACUUGUGGCUGGGGGUGAAAGGCCAAUCAAACCGGGAGAUAGCUGGUUCUCCCCGAAAGCUAUUUAGGUAGCGCCUCGUGAAUUCAUCUCCGGGGGUAGAGCACUGUUUCGGCAAGGGGGUCAUCCCGACUUACCAACCCGAUGCAAACUGCGAAUACCGGAGAAUGUUAUCACGGGAGACACACGGCGGGUGCUAACGUCCGUCGUGAAGAGGGAAACAACCCAGACCGCCAGCUAAGGUCCCAAAGUCAUGGUUAAGUGGGAAACGAUGUGGGAAGGCCCAGACAGCCAGGAUGUUGGCUUAGAAGCAGCCAUCAUUUAAAGAAAGCGUAAUAGCUCACUGGUCGAGUCGGCCUGCGCGGAAGAUGUAACGGGGCUAAACCAUGCACCGAAGCUGCGGCAGCGACGCUGAUGCGUUGUUGGGUAGGGGAGCGUUCUGUAAGCCUG
rnacentral:rRNA from 1 species